AACGAACGCUGGCGGCAUGCCUAACACAUGCAAGUCGAACGAGACCUUCGGGUCUAGUGGCGCACGGGUGCGUAACGCGUGGGAACCUGCCCUUAGGUUCGGAAUAACUCCCCGAAAGGGGUGCUAAUACCGGAUAAUGUCCUCGGACCAAAGAUUUAUCGCCUUUGGAUGGGCCCGCGUUGGAUUAGCUAGUUGGUAGGGUAAAAGCCUACCAAGGCGACGAUCCAUAGCUGGUCUGAGAGGAUGAUCAGCCACACUGGGACUGAGACACGGCCCAGACUCCUACGGGAGGCAGCAGUGGGGGAUAUUGGACAAUGGGCGAAAGCCUGAUCCAGCAAUGCCGCGUGAGUGAUGAAGGCCUUAGGGUUGUAAAGCUCUUUUACCCGGGAUGAUAAUGACAGUACCGGGAGAAUAAGCUCCGGCUAACUCCGUG
rnacentral:rRNA from 1 species